rnacentral:lncRNA from 1 species
GGGAGACCGGAAGGACAGAUAGCACAUGUGACAUGUCAUGUUUAAAUGGUAGGAUAAUUGUAUUUUCAAAUCUUUAAUUUUGCUUAAAACAGAUGUUUGACGGAUAAAUGUUGUAGAAUAUUUUGGCUGAAUUGCAUAUUUUUUAAAAGAAGGGCUGAUUUUAUGAUGUAAGAAAUCUUCUAGGAGGGGUGAUCCACACAGCAGCGCAGGUGGGUCCUGGGAGUAAAUGCCCUCAGAAGGGAUCAGGAAGGCAGCAGAGGCCGGGAGCGGUGGCUCACAUCUGUAAUCUGAGUACUUUUGGAGGCCAUGGUGGAUGUAUUGCUUGAGCCCAGGAGUUCGAGACCAGCCUGGGCAACCUGGCAAAACCCCAUUUCUACAAAAAAAUACAAAAAAUCAGCUGGGCUUGAUGGGGGCAUCUGUAGUUUUAGCGACUUGGAGGCUGAGGCGAAGGAUCCACCCGGGCUUGGGAGGUCGAGGCUGCAGUGAGUUGUGAUUGAACCACAGCACUCCAGCCUGGGUGACAGUGCAAAACCAUCUCAAACAAAAAGUACAACUUAGCUCAGGUUUGAAUAGAAGGCUCCCUGAGAUGCUGUUGUUGAAACAGCCACAUUGUAUGGUGUACCCUGUUUGAGAUCAGCUUUCACACCGAUGAGGGUGGCUUAGCUAGAGAGCCAAGGCUCUGUCUCCCAGGGCUUUCCUGAUGGUCUCCUUUGCUUUCCUUCUCCACUAAGGAGGACGGCCAGCAGCUGCUCAGCCUGUGCUGUUAUCCCACCUUUUCCACACACGCCAGCCCCCUGUCCACAGCACCCAAAGCUGCCUGAGGGAUUCUUCAGCAGCUCCCAUGAGCUGACAGUGACUCUUAUGUUUCCUAGGUGUCAAGCCUGUGGCAGCAGAGCUUCCUGGGGAGUCCUCAGAGCAAGUCAUUGCCAUUGUCGAAGUGUCUUCUAGGCUUUAUUUUGGGGCCAUUACCUCGAGCACUGUUUCUUGUCUGGUUUCCUAAUGUCAGCAACUGAAGAAAAGACCUGUAUACACAGGACACAGCAUGGUCUGACGCUCACAGUGUUUUCCUUUCUCUCUGCAGAGGGAUUCAGCACUUUGGGCAAGUGGUUGCACAGAGGAUCCCGUGGAAGAAUUCAUAUAUGAAUCAGAUGAGAAUGCCCCAGGACCAUCGUAGGUCAGGCCACCUGCUUUUGUCAAAGAAAAAAGAUAACCCCUAUUUGAAUUAAAAUAUGAGAAUCUGACCAUAUGUAUCAUAGGUGACUUACACAGUGUCCUUGGUAAGGAGAAUUUAGAGUGAGAGUCUGUUCCCCACUGAGGUUUGAUUUAAGAUGGCAGAAGAAAAUGACAUCAUCAGCCACUCAGCAGCUUGAUUCUCUCCUUGGGGCAAAAUCACUUAAUUGCCAAGCAACAUGGACUUACAGGAAACAUCCUCCAAUAAAAACUUAGGUUUUUAGCAUGAUUCGGUAUGUCCUGUUCUUAUUUUGGGUGCUUUUGGGUGGUCUCAUCGUGACAGUCAAUGUCCUGGGUCUUCAGUGUCUAUAAAGUCCCCCUGCAGCCCUCCUGCCCGCUGUCUUGGCAUUGCCUCCAUUCCUGGUCCCCAGGCUGCAGCGUUGAAUCCUGUUGAGCAACCCCACAGGGUUUAGGAAGGGAGCCCGGCUGAGGUCAGAAGAGUUGGCGCCACCCUGCAGGAAGGGUUCCCAGUGACGUCUGGGUCUGCUGUGGCCGCCCCCCUCCGCCCCGGGGCUUUUGCUGCACUGGGGUCUCUGGACAUGCGCACUUGUUGUCUUCCUCCCAGAUACCAACAAGCCCUCUCCCGGCACCUGCAGAAAAAGUGGGGAAAAUCCCCGAAGAGGCAGAAACAAAACCUAGUGAGCUGAAGGAUGAGGCUGCUGAAGAGCCUGAGCUCACUUGUUGUGGCCUUUGUACUUAUGCUGGAAAUCCCUAAAGGCAAGUGAAGGAUGCCCUGAGAACAUCCUCCAGGGAGCAGACAGCCUCUCCAUAGCAGCCCCUGAGCCCACCGGGCUGAGCCUUCCAUAGGCUGCUUUAAUGAGGGAGGGGCUGAGGUGCUGGUCAGGCUACCAGAUGCAGGAUUCUGAGGGCCAUGCAGCGCGUUCCUGUCUGCAGUGCCACUUAAGCUCAUUUGAGGGGACCCAGCCCUGCCCUCCAUGUCCCCAGAAGACAACAGGGAGGGAGCUUCACCAAUUCAACAUGAGCAGCCACUGGGUUGAUCAUGAAUCCCCCUGUUGCAUGCCUGCUGGGAAAGGUGUGAGAGGGAGGGAGGCAGCCCCAGGCUUCUUGCCACACAAGCAGCCCACCCAGCCCAGCAUUGCACACCUGCGGGCACUCAGUAGGUCCUGGCAUCAAGAAGGGGAAAGGCCAGGAUCCAAGACCCGCUGGGAUGUGCCCAGUCCCAGGGACCCCCCAGCCUCCAUGGAGCCCUCGGUGCCUCGGGUGGCCUCAUGGCCCCAUUUCUCAAGAUGAGUUUGGAGGCUUCUGUGUGUAGAGAGCACUGAUUUGGGCAUCAGUGGUUCUGUGUCUGUGUCAGAUGCCAACAAAAAUACUCGUGAAGACAAGUCAGG